rnacentral:rRNA from 1 species
GACGAACGCUGGCGGCGUGCCUAAUACAUGCAAGUUGAGCGAUGAAGAUUGGUGCUUGCCCCAAUUUGAAGAGCAGCGAACGGGUGAGUAACGCGUGGGGAAUCUGCCUUUGAGCGGGGGACAACAUUUGGAAACGAAUGCUAAUACCGCAUAACAACUUUAAACAUAAGUUUUAAGUUUGAAAGAUGCAAUUGCAUCACUCAAAGAUGAUCCCGCGUUGUAUUAGCUAGUCGGUGAGGUAAAGGCUCACCAAGGCGAUGAUACAUAGCCGACCUGAGAGGGUGAUCGGCCACAUUGGGACUGAGACACGGCCCAAACUCCUACGGGAGGCAGCAGUAGGGAAUCUUCGGCAAUGGACGAAAGUCUGACCGAGCAACGCCGCGUGAGUGAAGAAGGGUUUCGGAUCGUAAAACUCUGUUGGUAGAGAAGAACGUUGGUGAGAGUGGAAAGCUCAUCAAGUGACGGUAACUACCCAGAAAGGGACGGCUAACUACGUG